GACGAACCGAGCGAACGUUGUUCGGAAUCACUGGGCUUAAAGGGCGCGUAGGCGGCUUGCCAAGUCAGGGGUGAAAUUUUGCGGCUUAACCGUAACAGUGCCUUUGAUACUGGCAGGCUAGAGGGAAAUAGGGGUUCGCGGAACUUCUGGUGGAGCGGUGAAAUGCGUUGAUAUCAGAAGGAACGCCGGUGGCGAAGACGGCG
rnacentral:rRNA from 1 species